UGGGGAAUAUUGCACAAUGGGGGAAACCCUGAUGCAGCGACGCCGCUUAAACGAAGAAGUUAUUCGUAUCGUAAAGUUCUGUCUUAUGGGAAGAUAUUGACAUUCCAUUAGAAGAAACCUCCGGCUAAAUCCGUGCCAGCAGCCGCGGUAAUACGUAUGGAGCGAGCGUUUUCCGGAAUUAUUGGGCGUAAAGGGUACGCAGGCGGUUUAAUAAGUCGAAUGUUAAAGAUCGGGGCUCAACCCCGUAAAGCAUUGGAAACUGAUAAACUUGAGUAGUGGAGAGGAAAGUGGAAUUCCUAGUGUAGUGGUGGAAUACGUAGAUAUUAGGAGGAAUACCAGUAGCGAAGGCGACUUUCUGGACACAAACUGACGCUGAGGUACGAAAGCGUGGGGAGCAAACAGG
rnacentral:rRNA from 1 species